AAGCGAUGAUGAUAAUUGCGUUUCUAGGUGAGAAUUGGGUUCUCACAGUCUUCUGAUUUCAAGACGAAUCACAAGCGCAUCCGAGCUU